GCCAAAGUCUCACCACAGUGAAAGAUGAUAGGACUCUAAUUUAAAACACGUAAACCAUUUCACCAAAGCUGGCAUAAACAGAGUGAUGAUGACACACACAGAUUAGAAAGAGAGCCCAAGCAGUCGGGUGCCAGGCUGUUCUCUAGGAGGAGUCAUGGAUAUUGUCAUUGAAAAAUGUAAUAGUCCAAGCCUGAACUGACAAGGUCCUUCAGCCUUAUCUUCCAUGAGUUAUUACUGUUCGGGACGUCUGUGCCGGGAGAACAAACUUCUGGAUAAUUCAGCCCCAAAUAGUUAAAAGCUGUUCCCUAGCUCCCAGGCUGCCUUCCCCCAAGAUGUAUACAACCAAGGAGGAUAGGGGUCGGGAAAGCAUCACUGCUCUCUGACCUGAAGCUGACAUUACCCUUACCAUGGUGCUGCCAGGUUUGUUGUCCCAUAGUUUGUGCCGGCUGUGGCCUCCUGGAUCAUCUGCUCAGAGCAUGGCUCACAGCCUUCUGCUCCUGGACACGUAACCUGUGCUUCUCACACGUCUUUCUCUGUACACGCCCUUACUGCAACUAUCUGUGCAAAUUCUUUGUGGCCAUAAUUAUAUUCUCAGUUUCUCUCUUUAA